GAGCGAAAGCGGAACAGCCUAAACCGGGAGAGUUUACUCACCCGGGGUUGUGGGACCUUAAUAUGAGCAACCAAGAGAAGCUAAUCAGUUUGGAAAACUGAACCAGAGAGGGUGAUAGUCCCGUGAGUGCAAUUAAGGAAGUUCUAGAGGUAUCCCGAGUAAUGCGGGACACGUGAAACCCUGCAUGAAUCCAGGCGGACCACCGUCUAAGGCUAAAUACUAACUGGAGACCGAUAGUGAACAAGUACCGUGAGGGAAAGGUGAAAAGGACCCCUGCUAGGGGAGUUUAAAGUUCCUGAAACCCCGUGCCUACAAAGUGUGGGAGCAUCUUCGGAUGUGACCGCGUGCCUUUUGCAUAAUGAGUCUGCGAGUUAUUGUCAGUGGCAAGCCUAAGCACUAAUGGUGCGUAGGCGAAGCGAAAGCGAGUGUGAAUAGCGCGACCAGUCGCUGGCGAUAGACCCGAAGCGGAGGUGAUCUAACCAUGAGCAGGUUGAAGCUGAGGUAAAACUCAGUGAAGGACCGAACCGUUGUACGUUGAAAAGUGCUCGGAUGACUUGUGGUUAGGAGUGAAAGGCUAAUCAAACCCCGUGAUAGCUGGUUCUCUUCGAAAUAGCUUUAGGGCUAGCGUCGGGAAUAGUACUCCGAGGAGGUAGAGCACUGAUUGGCUUAGGGUCCCUAACAGGAUACCAAAACCAGUUAAACUCCGAAUGCCUCGGAUCCCAUUAUCCCGGCAGUCAGUCGUCGAGAGGGAAACAACCCAGACCAUCGGCUAAGGUGCCCAAAUACCGCUCAGUGGUAAGGAUGUGACGUUACACAGACAGUGAGGAUGUUGGCUUAGAAGCAGCCACCAUUUAAACAGUGCGUAACAGCUGACUCAUCGAGUGACGUUGCGCCGAAAAUGAUUGGCGAUCAAGCGGUAUACCGAAGCCAUGGAUGUCUUAGGACAUGGUAGAAGAGCGUAGUCAGGCCAUCGAAGCUUUCCUGUAAAGGGGGGUGGAGGGCUGACUAGUGAGAAUGCAGACAUGAGUAGCGAUAAACAAAGUGAGAAUCUUUGUCUCCGUAAACCCAAGGUUUCCUGGGCCAGGCUCGUCCCCCCAGGG
rnacentral:rRNA from 1 species